CAAUAGCGUAUAUUAAAGUUGUUGCAGUUAAAAAGCUCGUAGUUGGAUUUCUGAUCGAGACAUCAGGUCGGGUCCGAGAGGAUCAUGUACUUUGAUUUUGUUUUGAUCAUCCUUGGGGAGAGCAUUUCUGGCAUUCAGUUGUCGGGAUUGGGAUCCUCAUCGUUUACUGUGAAAAAAUUAGAGUGUUCAAAGCAGGCCUCGGCCUCUGAAUACAUUAGCAUGGAAUAAUAAGAUAGGACUUUGGUGGUCUAUUUUGUUGGUUUGCACGCCAAAGUAAUGAUUAAUAGGGAUAGUUGGGGGUAUUCGUAGUCAAUUGUCAGAGGUGAAAUUCUUGGAUUUAUGGAAGACGAACUACUGCGAAAGCAUUUACCAAGGAUGUUUUCAUUAA
rnacentral:rRNA from 1 species